GAUAUGCGGAUGCUAGGUCGCCAUGUCCGGGUACUCGGGGCGGAGCAGGAGCAGGCGGCGGGCGCCGCGGCGGUACGGGCGGCGAAGCCCCAGGGUGGCGGUGCUCAGGAGGACGGCCACCGACACCACCGAGACCGAGGUGGCGCGCGAGGUGGCGGGCCUCUCCCUGCUGCGGCUCCUCCGGUCGGCCAGGUGCAUGAGGGCCUCGGUGGGCGCGCUGGGGCGGCGGAGGCGGUCGCGGAGCGGGCCCGGGACGCCGCGCCGCGCGACGGGCCGGUGCCGGCUGAACCGGCGGCGGCGCCCCGCGCGCUACGCGCGGUGGUGCCGGAGGUGGAGGAGCAGCUGCGCCAUCAGCUUCCUCGGCUCCCUCAUCCACGCCGCCAGCAGGGGGCGCCGCCUGCUCGCAGCCAACGAGUGCGACGGCUAGAGCUGCGCCUUCGAAGACCUGCGCAACGACGACGAGGAGCGCAGGUCGCCGAGGACGACGCGCCGCCGCCACAUCCGCCACCCCUCUCCGCCCACGCCCUCGCUCUACCGCCGCGCCGUCUCGCCCGUCCUGCCGCACAACGCCUCGGUGCGCAGCUGCGUCCGCCGCACCUUGCGCACGGCCGUGCGGCCCUCGUCGGCGUCGAGCCGCAGCCCGUGCUUGCCGCUGUCCGUCUGCCGCGUCAGGCCCCUCGAGAACCCGUCGCGUCGGUCGCGGCUGCGGUAGCACUUCUCGCCUUCGCUGCGCUAGUCGGCGAGGAAGAGCAGCAGCUGGUGGAGCGGGGGACAACGGCGACGACGCCCCGGGCGGCGCCCACAGCGGCUUCCCCGCCGGCGGAGCCGCAGCCUCGCCCUCCUCCGCGGCUCAGGGGACCUCUGUCGUGAGCCCCGGCCUCUUCUGCAAACGGCGCUCCUCUCCGUCGCCUCCUCCUUCACCUACCUCUACCUCCGCGUCUUCUGCUUCCGCUCCUCGCGCCGCUACUACUCCUCGCUGCCCCUCUCCAACUCGCUCCUCCUUCCACCGCCUCCGCCGCUGCCGUUACUGCCGCCCUACCACUGCCGUUCCCCCAGGGGCCGCAUGCCGCCGCGCCCGCCGCCCUCCCUCAGGUACCACCCGGCGCCCGCCUCUCCGUCCUCCUCUCGCGCACAAAUU
rnacentral:rRNA from 1 species